GACGUAGGGGGCCAGCGUUGUUCGGAAUUACUGGGUGUAAAGGGUUCGUAGGCGGUGUGGCAAGUCGGGAGUGAAAUCUCUGGGCUCAACCCAGAGGCUGCUUCCGAAACUGCUGUGCUUGAGUGUGGGAGAGGCGCGUGGAAUUCCAGGUGUAGCGGUGAAAUGCGUAGAUAUCUGGAGGAAUACCGGUGGCGAAGGCGGCAUCCUGGACCGGCAUUGACGCUGAUGAGCGAAAGCUAGGGGAGCAAACGGG
rnacentral:rRNA from 1 species